UGAGUCGGCCGGGCGAUCGCGUCGGCUCCCGUGAGGGAGCCGACGAGGAACGUCCGGGCUCCACAGGGCAGGGUGGUUGCUAACGGCAACCCGGGGUGACCCGCGGGAAAGUGCCACAGAAAGCAGACCGCCCGGUGCCGAGAGGCACCGGGUAAGGGUGAAACGGUGGUGUAAGAGACCACCAGCGCCCGGGGUGACCCGGGCGGCUCGGCAAACCCCACCCGGAGCAAGGUCAAGAAGGGUCCGGUGCCUUCGGGCAUCGGGCCUGCGCAGGCGUUCGAGGGCGGCCCGCCCGAGCCUGCGGGUAGACCGCACGAGCCUGCCGGCGACGGCAGGCCUAGAUGGAUGAUCGCCGGCCGGGGCAGCGCCGCAAGGCGCCCCGGUCACAGAACCCGGCGUACAGGCCGACUCAUCCG
rnacentral:RNase_P_RNA from 1 species